UGAGUAAUGUCUGGGAAACUGCCUGAUGGAGGGGGAUAACUACUGGAAACGGUAGCUAAUACCGCAUAACGUCGCAAGACCAAAGUGGGGGACCUUCGGGCCUCAUGCCAUCAGAUGUGCCCAGAUGGGAUUAGCUAGUAGGUGAGGUAAUGGCUCACCUAGGCGACGAUCCCUAGCUGGUCUGAGAGGAUGACCAGCCACACUGGAACUGAGACACGGUCCAGACUCCUACGGGAGGCAGCAGUGGGGAAUAUUGCACAAUGGGCGCAAGCCUGAUGCAGCCAUGCCGCGUGUAUGAAGAAGGCCUUCGGGUUGUAAAGUACUUUCAGCGAGGAGGAAGGCAUUAAGGUUAAUAACCUUGGUGAUUGACGUUACUCGCAGAAGAAGCACCGGCUAACUCCGUGCCAGCAGCCGCGGUAAUACGGAGGGUGCAAGCGUUAAUCGGAAUUACUGGGCGUAAAGCGCACGCAGGCGGUCUGUCAAGUCGGAUGUGAAAUCCCCGGG
rnacentral:rRNA from 1 species